GCAUACCGUGUACCUGCCAACUCAGAUAAACGGAGACUUGUUAACGUCACUGCUGGUGGAAUAUCCUCAGUAUAUGAAGACAGAGAAAAGAAAGGAGGCCAGUGACAGCCAGUUGGGCUGCUCUAUAGUCAUCAUUCAAGAUUUGCUCCUUUGUGGAGGGUCCAGCCCCCUACAUGCGGUCCUGAACUGUGUAAGGAAGCUCACAUAAGGCAGCCAGUGAGCCAUCUCGUGAAGCAAAAUUCUCCUGCGUUCCUGAUGCACUUCUAUGGCUGGGAACAAUUUAAAAGCACAUACCUCAUGCUUGACUCUGACAUAGUGUUUGGAAAGAAAGUGUUCUGAAGCCACUAUACAUGGAAGAGCUACAGAUGAUGACAGAGAAGAUCAGCACAGAGCAAACAUGGAGUGGGAAGAACAUCAUGGAUGCCGACACUAAUCCUAGCAAUGACCAUUAGCCCAAAGGGAAGGCUUAGAGAUGAAUGACUUGAAAGCACAGCCAAGCCACCAAAGACUUUCCAUUCAUAAUGUUGGAAACAUCUGUGCUUUGAUGCCAAGCUAUAUUAAUAGACUUCUACAUGGAAAAAUUUGGCAUAUGCUGUGAAUAUACAAAAAAGUUUGAUCCAAAGGAAAUUUACAUGUUAAUAGAAAGAAUCAAGGUAGGCAGAAAUAACAAAAACCAAAUGCAAAGUAUGAAGUAAUGAAAGUGAUUUAAUGAACACAGAUA